UCGAGAGGCUUCCACAAUGGGGGAAACCCUGAUGGAGCGACGCCGCGUGGGUGAUGAAGGUCUUCGGAUCGUAAAGCCCUUUCAGCAGGGAAGAAUGGAGCCGGUGCCAAUACCACCGGAUCCGAGACGGUACCUGCAGAAGAAGCUCCGGCUAACUCCGUG
rnacentral:rRNA from 1 species